UCUCUGAUAGUAUAUCGGUCAGUACACGCGCCUGUCAGGUGAACUAGGAUAUAGUCUACUGCGCGCUAAAGCUGGGUUCGACUCCUAGUCAGAGAG